rnacentral:lncRNA from 1 species
AUAUUAAAGAGGAAGCACAUCUUUAGUUUCCAGUAACUGGCAUUUGGUUAUGGGGUGGCUGUUUUUCUACGUGGACCAAGCAGGGUCCCAGUUCAAGUUUCUGCUGCCUAUCUGAUAAUCUUGAGGUAUUUAUGAAGGACUCCUUUGAAAGUUCUCUACUGAGUUUCCUUAAGGAAUUGGAAUAUAUUUAAUGACCUCCACCAUCUCUAAGAACAAGCAGCUAUUUCUGUAGAGAAAGAUCAUCUUUGGAUAACAAUACAUGAUUUUAGGCUCUAAAAGUUAAAACGUGUUUGUAACGUUGAUAUUAUGCAGAGGUCUUGACAGAACUUGGCAGUCUCUGAGGCUACAGAGAAGUGUGAAAAAGAGCAUAGAGAUUUCAGAAGGAGGCAGAUUCAGUCAGACGUACUGAAUCCCGUUUGAUCUCAACUCAGGCACACUCCAGAUGGACGUAUUGAACAGCACACUGGAGUUUUUGUCCAGAAGUUUGACUUUAGAAGAUAAGAAAUAACUGAGCGUAUUACAAGCAGGAGUUAGAGGAAGAGACUCAGUACAGAAGAGACAGGAACAAAAGUUCACCUCCAUUCAAUGGGAAAGGAUACAGAUCAAGAGUUCAGGAAAAGUAGGAGAAAGAAGCUCUAUUCCAGAAGCAGUCUGGAGCACAAAGAAUCCCUAAUCACUGACAUUAAGAAAGAAGAAAAAUAUUCCUAGGACGAUCCUGGAGAGCAAAGGUCAUCAGCAGUCACUUGACUUUCCUUGGAUUUCUCAACUGCAGUAGUCACAUGGUCUGCUG